rnacentral:sRNA from 1 species
UGAGUUCCAGGCCAGCUGGUGCUACAGAGUCAGACCCUGUCUCGAACAACAGUAAGGCAGUUCAUAGGGAAAAAGAAAUAGUAAGACAAGAGAACGAACUGCAUCUGAAAAUGUGUAAAACAACAUCAUCGAAGGAGGUGGUGGGAGCCCGCAUGAGUAGAGUCUGGGAGAUCGAGUUGAAAAUGAGAUUCAUAUAAGGAUAACUCUUACCCUUCAUCAACGAAACCUCUUUAUUCAGUUCAAGAAGCCACAACCAGGCGAAAUGCAGAGAAUGACUAACCAUGGAUUGCUCAACCACAACCGAUACAUCUACAACUUGGGCAUACACCAUGGCUCAGGGGACAUCAUUGAAAAGAAGGCAGAAGGAUGGUUGUUAUCAAUGUUCCUAAGGGAUGGAUGGUACCCAGC